rnacentral:rRNA from 1 species
AAACCCCGAAUGGCUCAUUAAAUCAAUUGUGGUUCCUUGGAUCGUUCCACAUCCUACUUGGAUAACUGUGGUAAUUCUAGAGCUAAUACAUGCAGAGAGUGCCUCGAGCCCGUGAGGGCGAGGGGAGCAUUUUUUAGACCAAAACCCAUGGGGACCCCUCUCCCCCGGGGGCGGGUCCCCCCUAAAACCUUGGUGACUCUUAAUAACUUCUGGGUGAUCCCAUGGGCUCCAGCCCGCGACCUAUCUUUUAAGUGUCUUCCUUAUCAACUUUUCACGGUAGGUUACAAGCCUACCCUGGUG